rnacentral:lncRNA from 1 species
GCUAGAGAGUGAUUGAGUUGAUGACCAACCUCAUUUUAGCCAUCUGCACUUUGUAAAAGUUCUUUUGUCACACUUUCCAUCCAUUUCUCCUUCUGAAGAAUUUCCACAGGACAAUGUGGGGAUUUUUCAUCCAACAGCUGCACAGUGGGAGGACAGAAGGAAAGUUCAUUUUCACAGAGAUGACUUCCUGAGAAGUAAAAGGUCUAAAUGUAACUGCAAUAUAAAUGGAG